rnacentral:rRNA from 1 species
UAGAGAGCUUGCUUUUUAAGCUUAGUGGCGAACGGGUGAGUAACGCGUGAGUAACCUGCCCUAGAGUGGGGGACAACAGUUGGAAACGACUGCUAAUACCGCAUAAGCCCACGGUACCGCAUGGCACUGAGGGGAAAGGAUUUAUUCGCUUUAGGAUGGACCCGCGUCCAAUUAGCUAGUUGGUGAGGUAACGGCCCACCAAGGCGACGAUUGGUAGCCGGACUGAGAGGUUGAACGGCCACAUUGGGACUGAGACACGGCCCAGACUCCUACGGGAGGCAGCAGUGGGGGAUAUUGCACAAUGGGGGAAACCCUGAUGCAGCGACGCCGCGUGGAGGAAGAAGGUUUUCGGAUUGUAAACUCCUGUCGUUAGGGACGAUAAUGACGGUACCUAACAAGAAAGCACCGGCUAACUACGUGCCAGCAGCCGCGGUAAAACGUAGGGUGCAAGCGUUGUCCGGAAUUACUGGGUGUAAAGGGAGCGCAGGCGGGAAGACAAGUUGGAAGUGAAAACCAUGGGCUCAACCCAUGAAUUGCUUUCAAAACUGUUUUUCUUGAGUAGUGCAGAGGUAGAUGGAAUUCCCGGUGUAGCGGUGGAAUGCGUAGAUAUCGGGAGGAACACCAGUGGCGAAGGCGGUCUACUGGGCACCAACUGACGCUGAGGCUCGAAAGCAUGGGUAGCAAACAGGAUUAGAUACCCUGGUAGUCCAUGCCGUAAACGAUGAUUACUAGGUGUUGGGGGAUUGACCCCCUCAGUGCCGCAGUUAACACAAUAAGUAAUCCACCUGGGGAGUACGACCGCAAGGUUGCAACUCAAAUGAAUUGACGG